rnacentral:misc_RNA from 1 species
GUGAAUCAUCGAAUUUUUGAACGCAAAUUGCGCUUCCUGGCAUCCCGGGAAGUAUGCCUGUUUGAGGGUCAGUAUUAACAAAAAAUCGGUUUGGUUGCAAAUUGUGACGUUUCCGGAGGGUGGGCUAUCUUAACUUUUGGGGUGAAGGGGCUUAAAAUUGACCUUAUUUGCGCAUUUUUAGACGUACAUAAAUUUUUUUUUUAUUCGUCUAUUCUUAAUGCCAAAAUCUUAGUAGAGGCGAUCACAUCGUGUGGUUUGGGGUCCAUAAAAUUGUCAUGAGGGGACCUCAAAUCAGGUAGGA